CCUACGGGAGGCAGCAGUGAGGAAUAUUGGUCAAUGGGCUUACGCCUGAACCAGCCAAGUCGCGUGAGGGAAGACUGCCCUAUGGGUUGUAAACCUCUUUUGUCAGGGAGCAACGCCGGCUACGUGUAGCCGGACUGAGAGUACCUGCAGAAAAAGCCUCGGCUAACUCCGUGCCAGCAGCCGCGGUAAUACGGAGGAUGCGAGCGUUCUCCGGAUUUAUUGGGUUUAAAGGGUGCGUAGGCGGAAUGCCAAGUCAGCGGUAAAAUCGCGGGGCUCAACCUCGCUCCGCCGUUGAAACUGGCGGUCUUGAGUGGGCGAGAAGUAUGCGGAAUGCGUGGUGUAGCGGUGAAAUGCAUAGAUAUCACGCAGAACUCCGAUUGCGAAGGCAGCAUACCGGCGCCCAACUGACGCUGAAGCACGAAAGCGUGGGUAUCGAACAGGAUUAGAUACCCUUGUAGUC
rnacentral:rRNA from 1 species